rnacentral:rRNA from 1 species
UACGGGGGGGGCAAGCGUUGUUCGGAAUUACUGGGCGUAAAGGGCUCGUAGGCGGCCAACUAAGUCGGAUGUGAAAUCCCCAGGCUCAACUUGGGAACUGCAUCCGAUACUGGAUGGCUUGAAUUCGGGAGAGGGAUGCAGAAUUCCAGGUGUAGCGGUGAAAUGCGUAGAUAUCGAGAGGAACACCUGCGGCGAAGGCGGGUUGCUGGCUGACACUGACGCUGAUGCGCGAAAGCCAGGGGAGCGAACGGG